AUCCAAGGCAGUCGUAACGAAGUUAAGGGAAUGACCAUCUUCCAAAUGUAUUUCAAUGAACAAGUGGGUUAUAAAUAUUAUUCACAACAUUAGUAUUAUGGAAAUAUUAAGAAAGGUUGAGGGCGAAAAAGGAAAUUCGCAAAAUAGAACCAUGGUGAUAUUAUGGAAGGCUAGGGGUAAAAUGGUAAUUUCACAAAGUUCAAGAAAAUUCUAGAAAAAAAUAAAAAUAAAUAAAUAAAUAAGUAAGUAAGUAAAGAAAGAAAGGAGCAUGUGGCCAUUUUAUAUGUGAAGGGGGCAAAGUGUAAAUAUAGAUGGACUAAAGUGUAUGAAAGAAGACACUUGGUCUUCUUUGACCAAGUGAGGAAAAAUCAAGAAAAGAAAAGAAACAUCAAGAAAAAGGGAGAGAAUUCUAGAAAAGAAAGAAAUGGGGCAUGUGACCAUAAUUGGGGGACUAAAUUGCAAAUAUGGAUAAGUGAUGGAAGACCUAUAUAUAUAUAUAUAUAUAUACAUAAGAGGUCUUCAUAAUUAAAUUAGAGAGAAAGAAAGAACAACAAAAAAAAAAAAAAAAAAAAAGAGAGAGAGGGUUCGGCCAAGGUAUGGCCAAGCAUGGCCAUGGGAGAUUUGAUCAAGAAAAAUUAUUUCUUUCAAGCUUUCAUACUAAGUGGAAGGUUCUCUACAAUGUGGAGUAUUAGUUGGAACAACUGAAUCAUUCGUUUCGCAAAAAUGAGGUUCUAGCCGGGAAAAGGAACUAGUGCUAAGAUUAACAAGUUGGACGAAUAAGCGUAGCUAGUAAGGCGCGGCGCAGGUACACCCAGAUGAGCUGAGGCCCUUAUAGAAGAUGUUCCAGCGAAGUUGGCGAGCUCCAGCUAGCCCGGGAGUGUAGCCGAGUCAGUGUAUAUGUGCCAUGGUUUCCGAUUAUAGUUAGAGACUUUGCAGACAGAGUCGUGGGUAUAGAGCGUCAGCUUUGUAGACGGCUUCGCCUGUCAAUUUGUUAUUACGUUUCAUGUCACGCGUUCCAUAUGAUGAUACACUCUCCAAAAAAAAAUAAAAAAUUGAUAGCUUACUAUGCAUUUUAUUCUGAAUUGAUUCCAGAGUUUAUUUAUGUAAUAAGAGUCAGCGGGUUCGCUCGGCUCCAGAUAUGGGGUCGGGUGCCCAUCACACCCUAGUAAGGUCGGGGUGUGACAAAGUGGUAUCAGAGCAGGUCGGUCUAAGGGGUUGUCUGCAAAGUCGUGUCCAGUAGAGUCCUGUUUAUGAGUGUGAAGCCGGCCACAUUUAUACACAGGAGGCUGCGGGGCAUUUAGGAAUUGUUGACCUUCUUUCAAUCUUAAAUCGUGCGAUAGAGCCAAGUCAUAAGGAAUAAGAUUUCCCCAUACGAGUUAUACGUACAACAAAAGGAAGCGAACGAGGCUAUGGAUGCUUAUAGAGGUAAGUCCUGACAUAAUUGUUCUGUUACCUGAACUGGAAGUACUGGAUGGCGGGGAUGUGCCAUGUAGUCGUACGUUUUAUGAGGCAUUGAUGACAUUGGCCGCAUACAGAUUUUGAAUAGUAGGAACGCUAAAGGAGGUUC